UGGGGUAUCGCCAAGCGGUAAGGCACCGGGUUUUGCUCUCGGCAUUCCCAGGUUCAAAUCCUGGUACCCCAGCCA
rnacentral:tRNA from 1 species